CGUUGAAGAACCGAUUCCCGUACGGUUUCCGAAGUUAAGCAAAGUCGAACCUGGUCAGUACCUAGAUGGGUGACCGCUUGGGAAUGCCAGGUGUUGUAA